UUCAUUUCAAGGGAGGUAUAAUUUCUUUUAUCCCUUUUGUCUCUCCUAUGUGAUCCAAUGUGCUAAGUGUGAAUCGCAUGCCUAAUUUGCUUUCAUUACCAUUCUUUAGUUCCAUUAUUUCAUUCAUUCUUGCUUUUAUUAAAUUAUUCUUUUAAAUGGGGUAUGUGUACACCUCUUGGCUUGUAAUAGAUAGGGCUUGGUGAGCUUUCUUGUCCAUUUUCCCUUUCCCCCCCUUUUGUUUUAGUUAGCAAAUGUAAUAAGUUCAUUGCUUGCUUUCGUUGCUACGUGUUUAAUCGCUUUAUUAGGUCUUUGCAUCUAGUCAAGCAUGCUAAGUGUUAUGUGCUACGUGUUUAUAAGUGAUUCGCAUGUCUACUCGCUUUUUAUAGUCAUGAAUGAAUGUGAUGGAUGAAUGGACGUCACCACACUAGUCCAAUGCUAGUUGUGGCCCCCUUUCCCGUCACCAC
rnacentral:lncRNA from 1 species